CUAAUAUUAUAAGAGAUGAAGUAAAUAUUUGUUAAACUAAAUUGAAUGCUUACAUAGAGAAGAUCUCUAUAAUAUUUCCAAAAUCCAGUGCCUCCAUGGGUUCAACCCAUUCAAAGUUGAAUGCCCUGCCCUGAGCCAUUAUUGAGUUUAUCUGAAAAUAAGUCUUUUAGGCAAUCCACAUAAUCUGGUAUUGGUUAAUGGAAAAUGUUGAGCCCCUUUCAUUAUGAUUUAUUUUGUAUACUUCCAGUUUUGUUUCUAUUUUUUCUUUGAGGGUGGGGGAACAUUAGGAGAGGACAUUUUCUCCUUCCAAGGAAAUGUGAAAAUAUCCUGAAUAUGCCAUCAGGAAGAGAAGCUUUCAAAGCAUGAUGUAUUAUAUAUUGUUGAAUUUUUGGAAAAUUCCUAAGUAAACCUCCCAGGUUAUUUCUGUACAAUUACAAAAUUUCCAGUCAGUGUCCCUAGAGUGUGUGCUAGAGUGAAGCCGAUUGAACUUCCGGUUGUGUUUAAUUUUUACAUACAGCUGAAGGUGUGGGCCUAUACUUGCUUGAAUCAUAACUCUCUCUAAAAAUGAAUAAUGCUUAUUAAGCUAAACAGAAGAUAUGAAGGCAGAUCAUCCUGCUUGCCUUUACUCCUUGCUGAAAUCCAUGUCUUGGCCGGGCACGGUGGCUCACAACUAUAAUCCCAGCACUUUGGGAGGCCGAGGUGAGUGAAUCACGAGGUCAAGAGAUCAAGACCAUCCUGGUCAACAUGGUGAAACCCCGUCUCUACUAAAAAUACAAAACUAGCUGGCAAGGUGGCGCGCGCCUGUAGUCCCAGCUACUCGGGAGGCUGAGGCAGGAGAAUUGCUUGAACCCAGGAGGUGGAGGUUGCAGUGAGCCAAGAUCACACCAUUGCACUCCAGCCUGGGUAACAAGAGCAGAACUCCGUCUCCAAAAAAAAAACAAAAAAAAGGAAUCCAUAUGUCCAAGGCAUUAAUGAGUCUUGAACAUAGACCAAAAGCCAAGUUAGGAUAAACAAGAUAUUGUCUUGUCCCUGGCU
rnacentral:lncRNA from 13 species